rnacentral:lncRNA from 1 species
AAAAGCCUUCUAAAAGCCUCCAUAGCUAGAAGAGAACAAAGUUGUCACUUCUUGUGAUCAAAUUCAGCACUUCCUUUCUUCUGCCACCAUCAUGAAUGUAUGUUACACAGAAAAGCCACGUGAGGCUGAGUCCCAGGACUCCCAUAAAGCCAGGAAUACAGUUAUCUCCAGGCAAGUCCUGGGGAACUACUGCAGGUAAGUAAAGGCAGGUCUAGAGGGCAG